AGAGUUUGAUCCUGGCUCAGGAUGAACGCUAGCGACAGGCCUAACACAUGCAAGUCGAGGGGCAGCGGAGAGGUAGCAAUACCUCUGUCGGCGACCGGCGCACGGGUGAGUAACACGUAUGCAAUCCACCUGUAACAGGGGGAUAACCCGGAGAAAUCCGGACUAAUACCCCAUAAUAUGGGCGCUCCGCAUGGAGGGCUCAUUAAAGAAAGCAAUUUUGGUUACAGACGAGCAUGCGCUCCAUUAGCCAGUUGGCGGGGUAACGGCCCACCAAAGCGACGAUGGAUAGGGGUUCUGAGAGGAAGGUCCCCCACAUUGGAACUGAGACACGGUCCAAACUCCUACGGGAGGCAGCAGUGAGGAAUAUUGGUCAAUGGUCGGCAGACUGAACCAGCCAAGUCGCGUGAGGGAAGACGGCCCUACGGGUUGUAAACCUCUUUUGUCGGAGAGUAAAGUACGCUACGUGUAGCGUAUUGCAAGUAUCCGAAGAAAAAGCAUCGGCUAACUCCGUGCCAGCAGCCGCGGUAAUACGGAGGAUGCGAGCGUUAUCCGGAUUUAUUGGGUUUAAAGGGUGCGUAGGCGGCACGCCAAGUCAGCGGUGAAAUUUCCGGGCUCAACCCGGAGUGUGCCGUUGAAACUGGCGAGCUAGAGUACACAAGAGGCAGGCGGAAUGCGUGGUGUAGCGGUGAAAUGCAUAGAUAUCACGCAGAACCCCGAUUGCGAAGGCAGCCUGCUAGGGUGAAACAGACGCUGAGGCACGAAAGCGUGGGUAUCGAACAGGAUUAGAUACCCUGGUAGUCCACGCAGUAAACGAUGAAUACUAACUGUUUGCGAUACAAUGUAAGCGGUACAGCGAAAGCGUUAAGUAUUCCACCUGGGGAGUACGCCGGCAACGGUGAAACUCAAAGGAAUUGACGGGGGCCCGCACAAGCGGAGGAACAUGUGGUUUAAUUCGAUGAUACGCGAGGAACCUUACCCGGGCUUAAAUUGCAACUGACUGAACCGGAAACGGUUCUUUCUUCGGACAGUUGUGAAGGUGCUGCAUGGUUGUCGUCAGCUCGUGCCGUGAGGUGUCGGCUUAA
rnacentral:rRNA from 1 species